rnacentral:lncRNA from 1 species
AUUAUUUUGAUAUCUACUCACAAAUUAAGAUAAAAUAUUGUAACAUCCCAUUUAAUUAAAUAAAUACGUAGAUAAAGAUUUAUUAAUGAAUAAUAGCCCUAAAAUAAAUAAAAUUUAGCAGGGUCUUGGUAUUGGGGAGCCAAUUGAUAUAAUUGUGGAUUUUGAGGGUCAAAAGAGUAAGUUCUGGACUUGAUUCGAAAGGGAUUCCGGAAGGCAAGGUAUAAUUGGUAAAUUAUGUACUUAGGUUGAAAGGAAUUUGUUAUGAAAGGGAUAAAUGGUAACUUUUGGAUCUGUUUUGAAAAGAUCUUGUGGGGGAGGGGCUAAUAUUGUAAAAAGAGCAAAUGUUUGAAUAGAGGCACGAGAUUUAGACCCAGCAGUCCUUCCUCACGUGCAUCUAGUUUCAAACCCUAGCCUAGAUUAUUCAGCCGCCAUGCGUGUGAUGUUUAGCAACCGCCACCCCCUCCGUUCACUAUUCCGAUCUGGACGCUGCUGCCUCAUUGCUGUGCACCGCUGAUUAUUACGCUGUCAUUGAGGAUCUCCAUUGCGACGUCAGCUACCGGAGGCGUCGGGCGAUGGGGCCGCUGGAGAACCGCCGAGGAUGGAAAAGAACCGCUGUGUCGUCGUGUGCAGUUCGUGAGCCACCAGAAUUGUUUGGUAAGUCCAACUGCAACCCACCUUUUUCCUCCUCGCUAGCUGUUGUGAUUAUGUCAUUGGAGACGCCAUGGCUGCCGCCAGUUAAGCUCUGGUCGCUUUCUGGCACAUCUUGCCACCACCAGCCACCGUGGGAUGUGGCUGUGGGUGUGUGUAUGAGUUUGUUUUGAGUAUUCUGUUGCUUUCGGUAUUUGAGGCGUGGGAUGAAUGUUAUGUGGCUGAAAAUCCAUUGCCACCACCACAAGGUGGUGGCUACCGCCUCCUGCCGCCGUGUCACCACCACCAGCUGCCAUAUGGUGGUGGCUGUGGAUAUUUGUUGUGAUGAGUACGAGAAUGCCUUGUGAAAUGAGUCUUGUGUUAGCAUUUUUGGUGGAGGGAUUGAGGGAAAAACUACCACCACCACCGCGAGGUGGUGGCCGUCGCCUUGAGCCCAAUGACCACCAUUACUUGGGGUGGUAGUGGGUGGUGCUUGGUACAGUGAACCCUAACCGGCCCAAAUGCUUGAUAUGGGCUUGUUGGAUGGCUAUUGGGCUAGAAACCCUAAUUAGGGUUUAGAAAACCCUAAUUUUGGGUUUGUUGAUUUGGGCCUUUUGGGACCCGCGUUUGGACUAGUGGACUGAAGAUAAAACCCAUGACAAUUUUAUUAUAUGAUCUAUUAGUGGAAUAAUCGACUUAAUGGGUUAAGUGAGAAAUACUUAACCAUAAUCGUCAUUUUAUGUGAAAACCCUAAUUUCUACUUGGGCCUUGUGUUGGGCCGUCCUAUUGGGCUUUGGUGUUUGGGUCAUCCAAGAGCAGUCAAAUGGACUAGAAUAUUUAGAUGGGUUUUAGGGUAAGGCCCAUAUGAGGGUUUGGGCCCAAUUUGAAAAAUUGGGCCAUGGUUGGGCCCAAUGGACUUGAGUUAUUCAUGGACCAGGUUGGUGUAUCAUGUUUAAACAUAAUAUGAGAAGGUUGGUCUUAGAUCCUAAUGGGGUUAUUUGUGGGUUUGGCUUAGUGAUAGAAGCCGGAGUGUAGCAACAACAUUUAUAGGAUCUGUUCGACAUACGAGGUGAGUCUUCUCACUAUACAUUACCUAGAGUGGUAUCUAUGUGCAGACCGGAGGGUCUUAUGUGUUAUGUGUAUGUUUGAGUUUAUGUGCAUUGUGAUAUAUGUAUGCCAUGUGUUAUAUAGAUCGGACCGGAGGGUCCAACGAUUUAGACCGGGCCGGAGGGUCCAACGAGCUAGACUGGACUGGAGGGUCCAAUAAGCUAUGAGACUGGAGGGUCCCGCUGAGACACAUUGACCGGAGGGUCAUACCGAGUUAUAGCCUCGAGUGGCUUAUGUGUUGUAUGUGGAUAUUGGGGAACCCACUAAGCAUUUAUGCUUAUAGUUGUUGUGUUAUGUGUUUCAGGUACUAGCGAGGAUCGCGGGAAGGUGUCAGCAUGAUCCGUACACACUCAUAGAGUUUAUGUUAUUGAGAUUCUGGGGACAUGUUUUGUAUGACACAGUGAUACGUUAUGUUUUGAGAUUAUCAUGUGAUUGAAAGUAUGAAUUAAAAAUAAAAAUUGUUUUGAAAAUUUACGUUGUUACAAAUAUAUGGCUAGAGAUUGUUUGGAAAUUUAAAAGAUCAUUAACAUUUUAUGGUUUCAGUUAAACUUUUGUAACGGUAAUUGAUUGAUCACCUUUAUAUUUGAAAACUAUAAACAUUCUA